GCAACUGGCUGAAACUUCUGUCACCCCCACCCCAUUGAUUGACAGGGUUGAUUCUGCUGAUCUGGCUGGCUAGUCGGAUGCCCCCUUCCUCCCUCACCACUCCAUGUGCAUCCCUCCCAAAACUGAAUGCUCAGUCAAAGAGGAUGACCUUCCCCGAGCAGAGGAGGACCAGUCUAUGCACCCCUGCUAGAACCUCUAAACCAGCUCUCAAGGUCCAUUUGAACAUUCCUUUUUUAAUUAAUUUUUUU
ensembl:misc_RNA 7SK 7SK RNA